CUUGGUUGAAAAGCCAGUGGC
rnacentral:siRNA from 1 species